rnacentral:ncRNA from 1 species
GCCCCGACCACUCCACAACAAUGGCCGGUCAGCUGUGAAAAAAAGGAGGAAAAGUUCAAGCCCGGGCUCGGGCUGCGGCAGUGUGGAGACCUGUCGUAACGCGGGAGGCGCAAGCCCCCGUGAGGACGCAUCCGGCGGAGGCCAUGCGUCCGGAGCCGAAAACUAUGGCA